GGCAACAGUUUUCCCCACAGGUGAGUAACCAAGUCUAAAGGGGUUCCCUGGAAAACAGAGCCAGCCUACCCCACUCCUCUCUAGCGAAGGGGGUGUGCCGGGGGUAGGAGGUAAUGUGGCUGGAAUAUGCUGUCCUCUAGCUAUUUUCAGCUGCUGAGUAGUCCCUAGGCCACCACUGCUGAGUGUAAAUAUGAACAGCCUUGAGUCUCCUCUAAUUUAGAAGAGAAGACAGAUAGACAGGCCCCUGGAUGCACAAAGAAUAUAAACUAUAGGUGGCAUAGUCACUUUUGCUCCCCUGCUCCUUAACUCUAUAUGGCAUACCUUGGUUAGAGUGGAGACUCAGGCCCAAACCCUUAUUGUCUGUCAUCUAUUUUUUCCUCUUAUCCCCCCCAUCUAUCUCCUUUUUCUCCAGCCACCGUCCUUCAAUUCCUUAGCCUGCAUCUCUUUCCCCACUUUUCUCUGCCCCACUCCCUAUCCAUCUCUUUCCUUCUACAGCUGCAGAUGAUCCAGGGAAGGUCUUUAGUCAUAGCAUGAGUUCUUCUGUCAGCACUGGCCUCUGUUUGUUGCCCAGAUGUCAGGAUCUGGCCCACCCACAAGAAUGAAGUCAUCAUGGAAGGAAGGGCAAAUUGUUAACACCUAACCCACCAUAUGUAAUGCAUCCCAGCUGCUCCCUGGGAAUUGAUCAGGAGACAAACACCCCCUCACCCACCUCUCUCUUCAGGCUGUCUAGGACAAUGGGUGUUAUGAUCAACAGGGACCUUUCUUUAAUCAAAUAUAUUGAAGCCACUGUCCUUGUACAGGUGUAACCAAGAGCAGAUUAACUCUCCGAAUGCACUGAAUCAAAUACCCCUGAUGUCUGCUGGGGGAGAUUUUCAGCUCCAAGACUUAAGGUGGUGGCCUUGUGAAAAUGACUGCCAUUACAGGUAGUUCUUCCCUAGGGCUUCAACUCAGCAAGAAGCUGGUCCAAUAGAAGCUAUUACUUCACCCACCUUGUCUUGCUAAUAUCCUGGGAGCAACACUGCCUACAGGGGGAGUACUCUCAUUCCUAGCGUUAGACAUGUGUCUCUCCCAGGGAAACUGAAAUAUACCUACCAAGAAUUAAACAAAUACUGCAGUCACUUCAUCAGCACAGCUUUCUUCAUAGAGAAUAAGGGAUUUCAAGUUCCCCAGGAACAAUGGUGGAUGCAGAACUGGCUGAGAACAAAUCAGAGUCCAACUACGAGGAGAAAUCUAAAUUGCUCCU